UCCCUAGUAACUGCGAGUGAAGCGGGAAAAGCUCAAAUUUAAAAUCUGGCGGUCUCUGGCCGUCCGAGUUGUAAUCUACAGAAGUAAUGCCCGCGCUGGACCGUGUACAAGUCUCCUGGAAUGGGGCGUCAUAGAGGGUGAGAAUCCCGUCUCUGACACGGACUCCCAGUGCGUUGUGGUAUGCUCUCAAAGAGUCGAGUUGUUUGGGAAUGCAGCUCAAAAUGGGUGGUAAAUUCCAUCUAAAGCUAAAUAUUGGCGAGAGACCGAUAGCGAACAAGUACCGUGAGGGAAAGAUGAAAAGAACUUUGGAAAGAGAGUUAAACAGUACGUGAAAUUGCUGAAAGGGAAACGCUUGAAGUCAGUCGCGUUGGCCGGGGAUCAGCCUCGCUCUUGCGUGGUGUACUUUCUGGUCGACGGGUCAGCAUCAAUUUUGACCGCUGGAAAAGGUCCUGGGGAAGGUGGCAGCUUCGGCUGUGUUAUAGCCCCUGGUCACAUACAGCGGUUGGGAUUGAGGAACUCAGCACGCCGAAAGGCCGGGUUUCGACCACGUUCGUGCUUAGGAUGCUGGCAUAAUGGCUUUAAGCGACCCGUCUUGAAACACGGACCAAGGAGUCUAACAUGCCUGCGAGUGUUUGGGUGGAAAACCCGAGCGCGUAAUGAAAGUGAAAGUUGAGAUCCCUGUCAUGGGGAGCAUCGACGCCCGGACCAGAACUUUUGGGACGGAUCCGCGGUGGAGCAUGUAUGUUGGGACCCGAAAGAUGGUGAACUAUGCCUGAAUAGGGCGAAGCCAGAGGAAACUCUGGUGGAGGCUCGUAGCGAUUCUGACGUGCAAAUCGAUCGUC
rnacentral:rRNA from 1 species